AAAACGACUCUCGGCAACGGAUAUCUAGGCUCUCGCAUCGAUGAAGAACGUAGCGAAAUGCGAUACUUGGUGUGAAUUGCAGAAUCCCGCGAAUCAUCGAGUUUUUGAACGCAAGUUGCGCCCGAAGCCUUCCGGCCGAGGGCACGUCUGCCUGGGUGUCAUGC
rnacentral:rRNA from 1 species